ensembl:lncRNA
GUCUCUGUUCACAACAAGAUACAAUAGCAGAUCCAAUUAUGUGCUUCCUCUUCCUGGUUGUUCUUGUAUGCUGGAAGUAUUAUGUAAUGGUAAGAGUCACAUUUUGAAAUUCUAAAAUUGUGCAAGAGCUCCACAUGCAUGUCUGGGUUUACUUAGGAAGACAGAUUUGUUUUUCAUGAGAACGACUGAAGACCGGCCAUUCUUCUUCAGGAUUUUCUGUUAGUGAGCAGAAUUCAUGUUUCCCUCAGUUACUGCAAGUUGCCCAGGCCCGGAAGCAGCAAAGCAUCCCAACACCAUCACACUUCCACCACCAUGCUUGACUGUAGGGUUGGUGGACACUGGAGCCUAUCCCAGGGGACUUGGGCACAGGUGGGGGACACCCUGGCUGCCAACCCAUUGCAGGGCACAAUCGCACACACACUCAUACACCCUAGCACACACUAUGGACAAUUUAGAAAUGCCAAUCAGUGUACAACACAUGUCUUUGGACUGGGGAGGAAACCAGAGUACCCAGAAGAAACCCCUGAACCACAGGGAGAACAUGCAAACUCCAUGCAUACAGGGUGCAGGUGGGAACUGAAAUUUCUAUUCGAGGCAAACGUGCAAACCACUAAGCCAUAGUGCCCUCACAUUUAUGAAAAGGUUCCAAUACAAAAAUACUUGUAAGAAUAUCAGAAA